rnacentral:rRNA from 1 species
ACAUGCAAGUCGAGCGGACAGAUGGGAGCUUGCUCCCUGAUGUUAGCGGCGGACGGGUGAGUAACACGUGGGUAACCUGCCUGUAAGACUGGGAUAACUCCGGGAAACCGGGGCUAAUACCGGAUGGUUGUUUGAACCGCAUGGUUCAGACAUAAAAGGUGGCUUCGGCUACCACUUACAGAUGGACCCGCGGCGCAUUAGCUAGUUGGUGAGGUAACGGCUCACCAAGGCGACGAUGCGUAGCCGACCUGAGAGGGUGAUCGGCCACACUGGGACUGAGACACGGCCCAGACUCCUACGGGAGGCAGCAGUAGGGAAUCUUCCGCAAUGGACGAAAGUCUGACGGAGCAACGCCGCGUGAGUGAUGAAGGUUUUCGGAUCGUAAAGCUCUGUUGUUAGGGAAGAACAAGUGCCGUUCAAAUAGGGCGGCACCUUGACGGUACCUAACCAGAAAGCCACGGCUAACUACGUG